rnacentral:rRNA from 1 species
CUGCUGCCUUCCGUAGGAGUUUGGUCCGUGUCUCAGUACCAAUGUGGGGGGUUGACCUCUCAGUCCCCCUAUGUAUCGUCGCCUUGGUGAGCCGUUACCUCACCAACUAGCUAAUACAACGCAUGUCCAUCUCUGACCACCUGAGUUUUCAACCACCGAAGAUGCCUCCGGUGAUGUUAGGGGGUAUUAGUACCAAUUUCUCGAUGUUAUCCCCCUGUCAAAGGUAGGUUACAUACGCGUUACGCACCCGUCCGCCGGUCGCCGGCA